UACAGCCAUAUCACAUUGAAACACAGGUUACUGUGUGAUCACUAAAGUUAAGCAAUGUUGAGCCUGGUUAUUACCUACAUGGGUGACCACUUGGGAAUACCAGAUAUUGUAA